rnacentral:rRNA from 1 species
AAGCCAUGCGAGUCGAGAGGGUUCGGCCCUCGGCUGACGGCUCAGUAACACGUGGAUAAUCUGCCCUUAGGUGGAGGAUACCCUCGGGAAACUGAGAAUAAUACUCCAUAGGUCUAGGAUGCUGGAAUGCAUCUAGACUCAAAACUCCGGUGCCUAAGGAUGAGUCUGCGGACUAUCAGGUUGUAGUCAGGGUAAUGACCUGACUAGCCUACGACGGAUACGGGUUGUGAGAGCAAUAACCCGGAGAUGAUAUCUGAGACACGAUAUCAGGCCCUACGGGGCGCAGCAGGCGCGAAAACUUCACACUAUGCGAAAGCACGAUGAGGGAAUCCCAAGUGCUUGCACGUAAGUGUAAGCUGUUUCUUUGUUUAAAACGCAUUGAGAGUAAGAGCUGGGUAAGACGGGUGCCAGCCGCCGCGGUAAUACCUGCAGCUCAAGUGGUGGCCGCUAUUAUUGGGCCUAAAACGUCCGUAGCCGGUUUAAUAAAUGCCUGGGUAAAUCGUAUAGCUUAACUAUACGAAUUCCGGGUAGACUGUUAAGCUUGAGACCGGGAGAAGUUAGAG